AGGCUCAAGGAAGAGCUUAGCUUAUAGCUAGUUAUUUUGCAGCGGAAAUCAACCCUCAUUGCGCGGACGCAAGUGUUCCGUAUGCCAAUAACGGUAACGACUGCGAAAUAUUCAGUCUGAACAUCCAGUACGCUGAUGGAAACGAACGGUUAAGCUAGCGCGAGCGCGUCUCAACUUCGAAUCUUGGAACGGCAAACGGUAAAUCUAUGAAUUAAUGGAUAUUCAAUGGCGGUCAGAGCAGUGUGAGCGACAGCAAAGCGCCACGGCGUAAAUAUAGUGAAAAAACGGUAAAACAUAAAUAAACGAAAAAACAGGAAGACACCGCAGUUAAAGCUGCAGGAAAAGCAGGCGCUGUAUAAUUUAUUGUGGAGGAAAAUUGACGAAACGCGGUGGCGGAAUAACGGUAGUGUACAACGUUUUAUCGGCGUCGCUGAACGUUUCACCGCUACAUUAUUGUGCGUGUGCUGCAAAAUUUUUUUUUGUAAAAAUAGCGAGAAUUAAACAAAUAUAUUAGUCUAUAAAAAGCUAAUGGGUACAGUAUAUACAUUACAUACACAAGCGAACUACCUAGAAGUGUAGGAAAAUAAAGUGAAAAGUGUUUGUGAAAUUAAAACAAAGUUUACAAUUAAUUACAUAUUUCAAUUCGAUCGAAAAUACGAUACCUUUCUUGGAUAUAUGUAUAUACUGCUAAUAAUUUGUGAACAACAAAAAAUAAGUGAUUUGUGCUGAAAAAUAUUAAAAAGGAAACAAUGAAAACUGUCUGAAAAGUUUUGGAGCAAGCAAAUAGCGAUUUUGCGCAAAAACUAUUAGCAACGCGUGAAAAUCAGCGCCAUUCAAUACAAAAUAUUUGCACUCAUAACUGAAAGACAGUGCAACGCGAAACCUAAACUCCUCCAGCAAUAUAGGGCAGAAACAAAGGUAGGUGCGCCCAUAUAAACAAAAACUCAUUAUUAUUAUGAUUAUUACUUUAAAUUACAAAUUACACUUAAUUAUAUUAUGCUCUAAUUUUUCGGCAUUAUUUCACACGUA